GCCCACGGCUCGGCAUCGAGCAGAGGGAAAAGGAGCAAUCCGCUUUGAGAUGGCCUCGCGUCCGAUUAGCUAGUUGGUGAGGUAACGGCCCACCAAGGCGACGAUCGGUAGCCGGACUGAGAGGUUGAACGGCCACAUUGGGACUGAGACACGGCCCAGACUCCUACGGGAGGCAGCAGUGGGGAAUAUUGCACAAUGGGGGAAACCCUGAUGCAGCGACGCCGCGUGGAGGAAGAAGGUCUUCGGAUUGUAAACUCCUGUUGUUGAGGAAGAUAAUGACGGUACUCAACAAGGAAGUGACGGCUAACUACGUGCCAGCAGCCGCGGUAAAACGUAGGUCACAAGCGUUGUCCGGAAUUACUGGGUGUAAAGGGAGCGCAGGCGGGAAGACAAGUUGGAAGUGAAAUCCAUGGGCUCAACCCAUGAACUGCUUUCAAAACUGUUUUUCUUGAGUAGUGCAGAGGUAGGCGGAAUUCCCGGUGUAGCGGUGGAAUGCGUAGAUAUCGGGAGGAACACCAGUGGCGAAGGCGGCCUACUGGGCACCAACUGACGCUGAGGCUCGAAAGUGUGGGUAGCAAACAGGAUUAGAUACCCUGGUAGUCCACACUGUAAACGAUGAUUACUAGGUGUUGGAGGAUUGACCCCUUCAGUGCCGCAGUUAACACAAUAAGUAAUCCACCUGGGGAGUAGGACCGCAAGGUUGAAACUCAAAGGAAUUGACGGGGGCCCGCACAAGCAGUGGAGUAUGUGGUUUAAUUCGACGCAACGCGAAGAACCUUACCAAGUCUUGACAUCCUGCGACGCACAUAGAAAUAUGUGUUUCCUUCGGGACGCAGAGACAGGUGGUGCAUGGUUGUCGUCAGCUCGUGUCGUGAGAUGUUGGGUUAAGUCCCGCAACGAGCGCAACCCUUAUGGUCAGUUACUACGCAAGAGGACUCUGGCCAGACUGCCGUUGACAAAACGGAGGAAGGUGGGGAUGACGUCAAAUCAUCAUGCCCUUUAUGACUUGGGCUACACACGUACUACAAUGGCGUUAAACAAAGAGAAGCAAGACCGCGAGGUGGAGCAAAACUCAGAAACAACGUCCCAGUUCGGACUGCAGGCUGCAACUCGCCUGCACGAAGUCGGAAUUGCUAGUAAUCGCAGAUCAGCAUGCUGCGGUGAAUACGUUCCCGGGCCUUGUACACACCGCCCGUCACACCAUGAGAGCCGGGGGGACCCGAAGUCGGUAGUCUAACCGCAAGGAGGACGCCGCCGAAGGUAAAACUGGUGAUUGGGGUGAAGUCGUAACAAGGUA
rnacentral:rRNA from 1 species